rnacentral:rRNA from 1 species
AUACGUACUGCGCAAACGUUAUUCUGAAUCACUGGGCUUAAAGGGUGCGUAGGCGGGUUUGAAGGUCUGAUGUGAAAGCCCACGGCUCAACCGUGGAAUUGCGUUGGAAACCACAAGCCUUGAGGGAGUCAGAGGUGAGCGGAACUAAUGGUGGAGCGGUGAAAUGCGUUGAUAUCAUUAGGAACACCGGUGGCGAAAGCGGCUCACUGGGACUCUUCUGACGCUGAGGCACGAAAGCUAGGGGAGCGAACGGGAUUAGAUACCCCAGUAGUCC